UACGAAGGGGGCUAGCGUUGUUCGGAUUUACUGGGCGUAAAGCGCACGUAGGCGGACUUUUAAGUCAGGGGUGAAAUCCCGGGGCUCAACUCCAGAACUGCCUUUGAUACUGAGAGGCUUGAGUCCGGGAGAGGUGAGUGGAACUGCGAGUGUAGAGGUGAAAUUCGUAGAUAUUCGCAAGAACACCAGUGGCGAAGGCGGCUCACUGGCCCGGUACUGACGCUGAGGUGCGAAAGCGUGGGGAGCAAACAGG
rnacentral:rRNA from 1 species